AUAAAAAGGGGAAGUUUGGACAUAGAGACACAAAUACACAAGGAAAGCUCCAUGGAAGAUAAAGGCAGAGAUUUACAAGCCAAGGAAUGUCAAAGACGGCCAGCACACCACCAGAAGCUAGCAGAGAGAAGUCCCUGGAGAGAGGACGUGAUGUCUGAAGCUAUGGCAGCCAUCUUGUAACUAUGAGGCCACAAACAAGAAAAGCAAAAACCAGAGUGAAGCAUGGCAGAGCAGAAAGAUGGAAAGAACCUGGAUACAUAAGAGUGUCACUGUGCAGCUGUACCCACCCUAGACUGCAUAUACCUGGACUUUAAGUAAAUGACAAAUAUCCUUUAUUCUAUCUCAA
ensembl:lncRNA novel transcript, antisense to PIP5K1B